rnacentral:lncRNA from 1 species
GGAUCGGCUCUGAGUCUGGGUGAAAGUGAAAGCUCGGGUUCAAUAUCUUCACAAUCAGAGAGAUACUCUGAUGAGCAGGUAAAUGAUCAUUCAACGUCAAAAUGUGCAUCAUUCUAGUCAUUUUUGUGCUUACCAUUGUUCUAAUACUGUGCACUUGCAGUUGGCGUAUUGUAUUACGUAUUCACAUAAGAUCGCCAGUCUCGUUUAGCAUUGAUGUUUUCUGCAUUUCAAAAACUUUGACUAGAUUUUAAUCUCUUUCUCAGUAUAAAAUGUCUUAAAAGCUUUUAUUUUAUUAGCAAUUGAAUUCUUCUCUUAGCUUCACAUUUCUGACUCAUGAAAUAAAACUAAUGCAUAUUGCUAAAACAAUCAUGGCAUUAUUGAUGUUUGAAAUAUUUGGAGCCUAAUCAUACAAUAGACUUAUGUUCCAUAUUUGUAUUGCGCCGACCUAAUAUUCCAAAGCUACAUGCA